GUGGACGCCAGUCUGCGUGGAGCCGACCUUGAAAUACCACCCUUUAAUGUUUGAUGUUCUAACGUGGAUCCGUAAUCCGGGUUGCGGACAGUGUCUGGUGGGUAGUUUGACUGGGGCGGUCUCCUCCUAAAGAGUAACGGAGGAGCACGAAGGUUGGCUAAUCCUGGUCGGACAUCAGGAGGUUAGUGCAAUGGCAUAAGCCAGCUUGACUGCGAGCGUGACGGCGCGAGCAGGUGCGAAAGCAGGUCAUAGUGAUCCGGUGGUUCUGAAUGGAAGGGCCAUCGCUCAACGGAUAAAAGGUACUCCGGGGAUAACAGGCUGAUACCGCCCAAGAGUUCAUAUCGACGGCGGUGUUUGGCACCUCGAUGUCGGCUCAUCACAUCCUGGGGCUGAAGUAGGUCCCAAGGGUAUGGCUGUUCGCCAUUUAAAGUGGUACGCGAGCUGGGUUUAGAACGUCGUGAGACAGUUCGGUCCCUAUCUGCCGUGGGCGCUGGAGAACUGAGGGGGGCUGCUCCUAGUACGAGAGGACCGGAGUGGACGCAUCACUGGUGUUCGGGUUGUCAUGCCAAUGGCACUGCCCGGUAGCUAAAUGCGGAAGAGAUAAGUGCUGAAAGCAUCUAAGCACGAAACUUGCCCCGAG
rnacentral:rRNA from 1 species